rnacentral:tRNA from 1 species
GGAGGUAUAGUUCAAUGGUAGAGCACUUGUCUAGCAUAUUCAAGGCCCUGAGUUCCAUACUCAAUAUCCUUG